AUGGAAAUAAAGUCGAUUUGGGCUCCAACAGCUGAGCUGGGUGAUAUUCUAUGUGACGGGGCUGCGGCUCCGGGACCCCCCGAUGUCUCAGAGCCCCCCGAGCGCAGCGGGGCCGGGGAUGUGGGGAGGGCAAAGCAAAGGGCUGAGCCCAGAUCUUGGUGUGGCAACGGGGAGGGGACGCGUGGGGCGCAGGAUGUGAUCCGGGGGCUGUUUCCUCUCCCCAUCCUGUGCUGCUGCGUGGGCAGAGGGUUCUUAGAAAGCACCGCAGCUGUGAGCUCCGGACGGGCUGCAGCAGGGGAAGCGGCGGUGGCGAUGAUGGUGAUGAUGAUGGUGGUGAUGGUGAUGAUGGUGGUAUCUCUCCCCCCCCUGGAGUUCUUUGCCCCGCAGCCGCUGCGGAUGCUCCAUCAGGGAGAGAAGGGAGCUGGGCAGCCACGGGGACGCGCUGAGGGCGCACAGCGGGGCCGGGAGAGCCCCCCAACCCCCCCCAUGGGCAUCCCCGGCCGCUCCCCAACACCACGCGGCUGCUGCCUCACUGCGGGCUGUCCCCGCAUCCCCACCCGCUGCCUCGUGCCCGACCCGUGCUCACAUCCUGUGACCGUCGCCAUCCCCGAACCGAACCGAACCGAACCGGGGCUGAGCUGCGGGUCCCCUGUUCCAACCCCCCCCCCUGUUUCCCAGCACGGAUUGAGCUCACUCUGCGCCCCAGCAGCCCUCAGCCAACAGCAGCAGCGCUCCUUCCUGCCCCGGCUUAUCAGCGCUUACAGGAAACCCCUUCUCCCGGCUCCAACCCUUUCCUGGAAGGUGAAGCGCUGGGAAGGGCCAAAGCUGAGCACAGGGCUGCAAAUAUUGACAGAGCGAUGGAGCAGCUGCUCUUUGCUCCGUGUUAACGGUAAAGAGGUGUGUGGGGGGUCAGUGCCACUGCGUGCUGGGGACCGGGGGGCUGCAAACCCCACCGUGGGGCUCAGAGCUGCCCAAGGUGGGGGGCUUUGGUGUCACUCCGUGGGGCAGCUGAGCGCUGCUCUGUUAGUCACUGCCCGCUGUGCUCACUGCGGGGUCGUGGGGUGA
rnacentral:lncRNA from 1 species